UACAGAGGUCCCAAGCGUUGUUCGGAUUCACUGGGCGUAAAGGGUGCGUAGGCGGUCGGGUAAGUCUGACGUGAAAUCUUCAAGCUCAACUUGGAAACUGCGUCGGAUACUGUUCGACUCGAAGGCAGGAGAGGGAAGUGGAAUUCCCGGUGUAGUGGUGAAAUGCGUAGAUAUCGGGAGGAACACCAGUGGCGAAGGCGACUUCCUGGCCUGUUCUUGACGCUGAGGCGCGAAAGCUAGGGUAGCAAACGGG
rnacentral:rRNA from 1 species